AACCUAGCACACCUGCGGUGUGUACCUGCGGAAGGAUCAUUACAUUCAGUAGCCUAGCUACUUGUUUACACCCUUGUUUUUUUGCGCACUUCAUUGUAUCCCUCGGCGGGCUUGCUCGCCGGUUGGACAACAUUUAUAACCUUUUUUAAUCUUCAAUCAGCGUCUGAAUUAUAUUUAAUAAUUACAACUUUCAACAAUGGAUCU
rnacentral:misc_RNA from 1 species